GGGUGCUUAGUUCAGUGGUAGAAUGCUCGCUUAGGGUGCGAGAGGUCAUGGGUUCAAUUCCCAUAGCGCCCC
rnacentral:tRNA from 1 species